CAGCAGGCGCGAAAACUUUACAAUGCCGGCAACGGCGAUAAGGGGACCUCGAGUGCCAGGUUACAAAUCUGGCUGUCGAGAUGCCUAAAAAGCAUUUCAUAGCAAGGGCCGGGCAAGACCGGUGCCAGCCGCCGCGGUAACACCGGCGGCUCGAGUGGUAACCGUUAUUAUUGGGUCUAAAGGGUCUGUAGCCGGCCGGAUAAGUCUCUUGGGAAAUCCAGCAGCUCAACUGUUGGGCUUUCAGGAGAUACUGUCUGGCUCGAGGCCGGGAGAGGUGAGAGGUACUUCAGGGGUAGGGGUGAAAUCUUGUAAUCCUUGAAGGACCACCAGUGGCGAAGGCGUCUCACCAGAACGGACCUGACGGCAAGGGACGAAAGCUAGGGGCACGAACCGGAUUAGAUACCCGGGUAGUCCUAGCCGUAAACGAUACUCGCUAGGUGUCGGCCACGGUGCGACCGUUGUCGGUGCCGUAGGGAAGCCGUGAAGCGAGCCACCUGGGAAGUACGGCCGCAAGGCUGAAACUUAAAGGAAU
rnacentral:rRNA from 1 species